rnacentral:sRNA from 1 species
GCAACGGCAAAAUCCGUUGCCGGGAUUUGCACCCCGCCAAACCCAAAGCGCACAACACGCGCCUCGUGUUUUUU